rnacentral:rRNA from 1 species
CCUACGGGCGGCAGCAGUGGGGAAUAUUGCACAAUGGGCGCAAGCCUGAUGCAGCAACGCCGCGUGAAGGAAGAAGGGUUUCGGCUCGUAAACUUCUAUCAACAGGGACGAAAGAAAUGACGGUACCUGCAUAAGAAGCCCCGGCUAACUACGUGCCAGCAGCCGCCGUGAUACGUUGGGGGCAACCGUUUUCCGGAAUUACUGGGUGUAAAGGGGGAGAAGGCGGCAUGGUAAGCCAGAUGUGAAAGCCUUGGGCUUAACCCGAGGAUUGCAUUUGUAACUAACAAGCUAGAGUACAGGAGAGGAACGCGGAAUUCCUAGUGUAGCGGUGAAAUGCGUAGAUAUUAGGAAGAACACCAGUGGCGAAGGCGGCUGUCUGGACUGAAACUGACGCUGAGGCACGAAAGCGUGGGGAGCGAACAGGAUUAGAUACCCGAGUAGUC